rnacentral:rRNA from 1 species
GACGAACGCUGGCGGCGUGCUUAACACAUGCAAGUCGAACGGAAAGGCCCUGCUUUUGUGGGGUGCUCGAGUGGCGAACGGGUGAGUAACACGUGAGUAACCUGCCCUUGACUUUGGGAUAACUUCAGGAAACUGGGGCUAAUACCGGAUAGGAGCUCCUGCUGCAUGGUGGGGGUUGGAAAGUUUCGGCGGUUGGGGAUGGACUCGCGGCUUAUCAGCUUGUUGGUGGGGUAGUGGCUUACCAAGGCUUUGACGGGUAGCCGGCCUGAGAGGGUGACCGGCCACAUGGGGACUGAGAUACGGCCCAGACUCCUACGGGAGGCAGCAGUGGGGAACAUUGCACAAUGGGCGGAAGCCUGAUGCAGCAACGCCGCGUGCGGGAGGACGGCCUUCGGGUUGUAAACCGCUUUCGCCUGUGACGAAGCGUGAGUGACGGGAAUGGGUAAAGAAGCACCGGCUAACUACGU